rnacentral:rRNA from 1 species
GAUGAACGCUGGCGGCGUGCCUAAUACAUGCAAGUCGAGCGAACGGACGAGACGCUUGCUUCUCUGAUGUUAGCGGCGGACGGGUGAGUAACACGUGGAUAACCUACCUAUAAGACUGGGAUAACUUCGGGAAACCGGAGCUAAUACCGGAUAAUAUUUUGAACCGCAUGGUUCAAAAGUGAAAGACGGUCUUGCUGUCACUUAUAGAUGGAUCCGCGCUGCAUUAGCUAGUUGGUGAGGUAACGGCUUACCAAGGCAACGAUGCAUAGCCGACCUGAGAGGGAGAUCGGCCACACGGGAACUGAGACACGGUCCAGACUCCUACGGGAGGCAGCAGUAGGGAAUCUUCCGCAAUGGGCGAAAGCCUGACGGAGCAACGCCGCGUGAGUGAUGAAGGUCUUCGGAUCGUAAAACUCUGUUAUUAGGGAAGAACAUAUGUGUAAGUAACUGUGCACAUCUUGACGGUACCUAAUCAGAAAGCCACGGCUAACUACGUG